AGCUUUUGUGGUGCCUGUUCUCUUUAGAACUAGUGAAUGCAGUGUCCAAAAGGUGUUUAAAAAAAAGCCCUUGGCAGGGUUUUCCUGCCUGAGACCCUACUGUCUGGGGCACAGGGAACUGCAGAAGGAAAAGGC